rnacentral:tRNA from 1 species
GCCGGUGUACUCUUAACUGGUAAAGCGGCAUAAACCCCCAGGGGUCAUAUGUUUAUGCGGGUUCGACCCCCGUCACCGGCU